rnacentral:rRNA from 1 species
UACGGGGGGGGCAAGCGUUGUUCGGAAUUACUGGGCGUAAAGGGCUCGUAGGUGGCCAACUAAGUCAGACGUGAAAUCCCUCAGCUUAACUGGGGAACUGCGUCCGAGACUGGCGGGCUUGAAUCCGGGAGAGGGAUGCGGAAUUCCAGGUGUAGCGGUGAAAUGCGUAGAUAUCUGGAGGAACACCGGUGGCGAAGGCGGCAUCCUGGACCGGCAUUGACGCUGAGGCGCGAAAGCCAGGGGAGCAAACGGG